GACAGAGGUUGCAAACGUUGUUCGGAAUUACUGGGCAUAAAGCGCACGUAGGCGGUCCGUUAAGUCAUGUGUGAAAUCCCCCGGCUCAACCGGGGAAUUGCGCCUGAUACUGGCGGGCUAGAGGUCGAUAGGGGUGAGCGGAACGUCCAGGUGGAGCGGUGAAAUGCGUAGAUAUCUGGAGGAACACCGGUGGCGAAAGCGGCUCACUGGAUCGAAACUGACGCUGAGGCGCGAAAGCCAGGGGAGCAAACGGGG
rnacentral:rRNA from 1 species